rnacentral:rRNA from 1 species
CUACGGGUUGCUGCAGUGGGGAAUAUUGCACAAUGGAGGAAACUCUGAUGCAGCAACGCCGCGUGGAGGAUGACACUCUUCGGAGCGUAAACUCCUUUUAUAUAGGAAGAUAAUGACGGUACUAUAUGAAUAAGCGCCGGCUAACUCCGUGCCAGCAGCCGCGGUAAUACGGAGGGCGCAAGCGUUACUCGGAAUCACUGGGCGUAAAGAGCGUGUAGGCGGAUUAAAAAGUCAGAAGUGAAAUCCUAUAGCUUAACUAUAGAACUGCUUCUGAAACUCUUAAUCUAGAAUAUGGGAGAGGUAGAUGGAAUUUCUGGUGUAGGGGUAAAAUCCGUAGAGAUCAGAAGGAAUACCGAUUGCGAAGGCGAUCUACUAGAACAUUAUUGACGCUGAGACGCGAAAGCGUGGGGAGCAAACAGGAUUAGAUACCCCUGUAGUC